rnacentral:lncRNA from 1 species
UAGGUACUAUGGAUUGGAGUCAGAAAGAGAGAAUAAACAUGCCAGAAGUAAGAAUACCCAAGCCAAGGUCACUUUUCUCCAUUAAAUAUUAAUGUGAAGAAAUAAAGAUUGAUGUGGGGAUUAUUUUUUAGUGAUUAGAUAUUGAUUUGUUUCUUAUUAUAUUAAUUAGCUUGAAAUUAUCACAAGAUUAACAGGGGAGACAUUUUUAAAAAAACAUUUUAAGUGAUUUGUCCCAGUUGACAAUGGAAAGGUUAUUCAAAUAUAAAAGUAGAACUAAGGGAUGUGCAUGUCACUGUCACUGAACUGUCACUGAAUGAAGAAAACGAAUUUGAUUAUAGAAGUACAAAUGAGAAGAAAGAAAAUAAAUGGAGAGUAGUAGUACUGAUUGUUCUACACAAAGACAAGCCAAAUAUCUUAGUCUUAGUCACCUUCUUUUUAUUUUCUAUAGAAUAAUUAUCUUUUUCACUUUGUAGACUUGUACCAGUUUUGACCCCAAGUAUAAAGGAACUUCCUGCUACAGACAAACUUCAUUAACUCUAGUCCAAACUGAGAAGAAGAGAGGCUAGCCUAUCACAGAUGCAUUUGAUGGUUGAUCUAAAUAGUGUUUCCAUGAUAUAUGUGAAAUGCUAUAAGCUAACCUGCCAAUGGGGCAUAAAACAGUCUGCACUUUUGCUUCAUAAAAGCAGACAUGAUGAAUGUGGACAAUCUCAUUUUAAAAUUGUGCCUUUGAAUUUUUUACUACCAAAAAAAAGGAAAUAGAAUAAAGGGAAGUGCAACAGAGCACUAUUUUCAAGCAAAUGUGAGAUGUUCUGAGGUGGUUAUGAUUCAGCAGUCAUAAAGCAAAGUAGCCAAGAAACUAUGACAACCAGUAGCAGCAUCAUAAGGAAAUCAAUCCCUGGAGGUCAAAGACACGUCCUCUACCCCCAAGGAGUUUCUUCCACUAGGCUGGCAAAUGUUCCACGAAUUAGUAUGUGACUAACCACAGCUAAAGAAUGACAUUUCUAAAGGCUUCAAUUUAUAACUGUUUACAUUGCUAUAAAUAAUGAUACUUUAAGUUAUGGCAAUGAUACUGCAACAUUUUAUUUUAAUUUAGUUAUUUCUACUUAGGUAAAAGGACCGGAUCUAACACAAGGCUAUUCUGGGUUAUCCAGGGGAGCUAAAUGUAAUCACAUAAGAUAUUAAAAGUAAAAGAGGAAGGCGGAAGAGUCCAUGAGAGAGAUGUAGCAGGAGGAGAAAUCUGGAAGAUCCAAAGCUUGAGGGGGACUUGACUCACAGGACUGGCGCAAGGACACGUGGAAAACAUGAGAAGCCCCAUGGGCACUGCUCAGGAGCAAAGCCUGGCCCUGGAGCAAAGUACACAGGGAAAUUAAGAUCUCAGUCCUACAAUGGGAAGGAACAAAAUCAAGUCAUGACUCAAACUAGCUUGAAAGAAGAAUCAUUUCCAGAGUCUCCAGAAAGAAACACAGCUCUGCAAAUGUCUUGACUUCAGACUUGUGAAAUCCAGAGUAAAGGAGCCAACAAAGCCAUGCCAUGGCCAGGCCUGUGACUGACAAGACUGUGAGAUAAUAAAUGAGUCUUGUUUUAAGCUGCUAAAUGUGUGGUCAUUUGUUAUAGCAGCAAAUGAAAACUAAAACAAAUAAUUACAAUAUCCUUUCUUUAAAAAAUAUUAGGGAAAAAAAAAGCUUUGAAUGAAGGCUCUGAUAUUCAAAAUCUACUCUAUUUAAACACAUAUUAGAUAAAAGUUUUCAUAUUUCUGAUAUGAUGCUUUUAAAAGUGAGAGAGGAGAAAAUAUUGGCAUGAGAGUUACUCUCUGUCAGAACUCAGAGGUCAUUGCUAUCACCUUUUUAAGCAGCUUGAGCUCCAUAUUCAUUUACAAGUGAAAUGACUAUUGAAAAAAGGGUGGGAGGAUAGUAUCUGUCUUAUGCAGAGAAAAAUGUAAAAUGAAAGGACCUAUCUGCUGGCCUCAGUUGUAAUGGUGAACUGCAAGAUUUUCUUCUGAGCACAAAGCAGUCAGGAAUUAAGUGUGGAAUCUAAUCAGAAUCUGUGGAAAUAUUUGAGCCAUGACAAGUAAUAAAGGUUGUUGAGAGGUCCAAUGAACAGAAUUGUGACAAAGUAUUUACCUGUUAUACUUGCUACACAUCUAUCAUCCUAGAAAUUUCAGGACAGGUUAUUUAAAGAAUCUAGCGCCAAACAUAAGCAUUUUUUGGUUUGUUUUCGGUUUAGGCAAGAUAAAAAGAAAAUAACUUAGAACUUUUUUUCGUUGAUUUAAUUAGAUCAUUAUAGUCUAAAUAAGCCUGAAACUAGGCUUAAAAUCCAAAUGCUUACCAUAUUAAAAAUUAUGAAACCAGAACAAAUUUAUAAAAAUUGAAAAAAUACAUAAAAGAAACAAAAUGUAAAUUAAUGCCAAAUGUUAAUGUGACUAACUAAUCAUGUUAUUUGCUGAAUGAAAGUGAAUCAAAAGGAGACCCUGACACCUUUGCUCUCUGACUGGAGUUUUGGAGGCAUCCUGAGGUCCUGACUGCGUGUCUUGUGUGUGUUAACGUUUUCCCACAGCUCUUCCCAAGCCUGUCCAAGAGCUUCAUCGUCCAACACUUGGCAGAAACAUGCCAUUUACAAGUUAUCCUGUAAUUCUUCUCCUAUUAUCCUAUAAUAAUUAAAUUCCAACUACUUCUAUCAAUAUUUGUUAAGGUACAGGCAUUGUAUCAUCCACAUAUUCUAAAUACGCUUAUGUUAAUUUUAAACAAAUGCUUUUUUCUUUAAAAAUUAGUAGGAACAUGUGUACUUGAUUAAGCAAACAAAAAGAAACACUCAAGCAGUAUAGAGAAAAUAGAGUGGUCAGCCUCUCUUUCUCUUGCAGCUGACCACCCCCACAGUCUGUCAUCUCCUGCACACUAUCACUCACAGUUACUAUUUCUUGUGACCCUUCUAGAAACCAUCUGGUUAUGUACAUGCAUGCGUGCAAACGUGUGUACAAUUAUACUCACAUGUUACUUUACUGUAUCUGUGAAAGAUGCUCUGAACCUUGCUAGCUCCACGAAAUGGCUUGAAAUUUAUUUUCUCCCCUUUAUUGAUUUAGUGACUACAAAUACUCCAUUUUGCAGGUUAUGUCAUGAUGUGUUUAAUCCUCUGUUGGUGAUCAUUAGUUGUUUAUCACUACAAACAGUGUUGCAUUGGAUAUUUACAUAUAUAUUAAAUAUUAUAUUUAGCAUUUCACAUUUUCUUUAUCCAGUAAUGCUUUUUAAAAUCGACUUUAUUUUUUGAAUAAUUUUAGCUUCAGGCAAAAGUUAGUGCAAAGUACAGAGAUUUCCCAUAUACCCCCCCGUCUGACUCAUGCACAGCCUCCCUCAUUAUUGGCAUUCCCCUGCCAGAGUGAUACAUUUGUUAUAAUUGAAUACUUUGAUUCAAUAUUAUCACCCAAAGUCCAUAUUUUACAUUAAAGUUCACUUUUAAUGUACAUGCUAUAGAUUUGGACAAAUGUAUAAUGAUAUGUAUGCACUAUUAUAGUGUCACACAGAGUAUUUUUACUGCCCUAAAAAUCACUUGGUGCUCCAUGUAUUCAGCCUUUAUGAAUUUUUGUUUCAUCCACAAAAAACAUAUAGAAAAUUAAAGUUGUGUCCUGGGAAGGGGUUCAUGAAAUACCUUUGUACAUCUUCUUCAUUGGAUGAAGUGAAAUCUCAACUUCAAUUUAGCAGACUGAGAUGACUGAGAUCAAAAUGACAGUCCAGAAAAUCACUUUGAUUGCCUACUGAGCUGAGAAAGUGCAGAUAUGUAGGUAUGUGAAACAGGCAUGAAGGAAUCUGGGUUCCCCACAGACCAAUGGACCCUGUUUGAUGCCACAGCCCACAAGAAUCAGUAGGAAGAAAAGGACAUAUGCAAAACUUCCCUUUUUAAGAAAACACCAGUGAAGACAGAAAAAUAUUUAUUUAAGGGCUUUUAUUUAAUAUAAGUGAUUGAAAAAAAGGAGAUGGAAGAAGACUAAUGGAGAGAGGACAAAGCAAUCGCUUUUUUUUUUUAAUGGAGAAAGGAAGAAACUAAAGGAAAUAAGAAGACGAACACAAGUACUUAAGCAAAAAAUUAAAUUCAGGGAAGAGUUUUAGAAUGGAAUAGUAAUGAAAAUAAAAAGUAUCAGCAAAACUUUGACCAGACUUUAAUAUUCAGACAGCAUCAACAUAAUUUUAACUCAUACUUUUCAUAAAAGUUACAUUUUGAAUUCAAUAUCUUCUAUAAUUUGCAACAGUUUUGAGUGUUUUAAUUUCCACUUAACUUACAGGGUUUUAAAGUUGGCUGUAAAAAUCUGUUCCCAAACCAAAUUCAGACCUACCAAAAGAAUUAAACGAAUUUUAUGUACUCUCAAGACAGAUUUCUUUCUCCUCAAAAAUAAAUAAAUAAAAGUGUACAGUACUACCAACCUCCUACACAUCGCUAAAAUGGAGAAAAAUUUUGAUUUCAAGUAUCAUGUAUGCCUUUCUCCUUCAGAAAAUAAAAAUAAGUAUUUAAUAAGAUUGAGAUACUGAUGUUUAUGAAAGCUUCAUAUAUGCUGAUAUUUUUAGGUGUUUUUAUGAUGUACUCAUAAAUUAUGGAUCAGUAACAUGCAAAUACACUGUUGAAGAGUAUUUCUUACAUGCUUGGAAAGAGAUGCUGUGCUUUGAACGUAUGUGCUAUGAAUUGUAUUAACAAUAUAUAACAUAUGGCUAACCAUUUAUUUUCUGCUUUAGAGAGGGUACUUUCUAAAGUUAUCUUAUUCAUAAUUUAUAUUUACAUAAAAAUUAACUAAUUUGUGUACAACAAAUAGUUUAAGGAGUUCCUGUCAUGGCUCAGCCGUUAACAAAUCCGACUAGGAACCAUGAGGUUGCAGGUUCUAUCCUGGCCUCAAUCAGUGGGUUAAGGAUCCAGCGUUGCCGUGAGCUGUGGUGUAGGGUCGCAGACACAGCUAGGAUCCCGUGUUGCUGUGGCUCUGGCGUAGGCAGGCAGCUACAGCUUUGAUUGGACCCCUAGCCUGGGAACCUCCAUAUGCCGGGGAAGCGGCC